GGGCCCUCAGGUGGUCUGUAGGGGCUCCAAGCAGGUUUCUGUGGCCUUUUCUCACAGGGUCCAGCAGGGUGCCUUAUGAAGCAGGCAUGUGGCAAUGGUUGGUUUCUUCCUGGACACAAUGACAACAAUCACUCAUGUGGCAAACACUGCAUCGAGCUGAGGAAUCUUUCAAGUCCUUGCUCUGUGUGCACACUGACCAGAGAGUGAAAUCAAUAAAAACUUGUUCUCUCUACCCUGACUUCGAUGUUCUUCUGUUCAGUUUUGAAGGUCCCUGGACGUCACCAAAUGGGGAACCAGGGGUAGAACUCCAGAAAGAUGCAGAUGAAGCACCAGAGGUCUGAGGCUUAUGGGGUAGAGUCCUCUUGGCUUCCGUCUGCAGACCUGGAUCAGAAGAGCUUCAAGGCGAGCUCUUCCUGGAGGAGCCUCAGCUCCUUGAGUGUUCCCAGGAAUCCCGGAGGAGAUGGGGGUAGGCACCUCUGAGAGCAGUCCUGUAUGCCCACCGUACCCUGCUGUGCUGUGCACUCUUCCUGCCUGAAUUUUUAGUUUCUAGAACUUUUAAAUUGUCUUUCUUAGGAUAAUGUGUAAAGAUGAAGACUACUUAAGCUCCUCUCCAGUGUUUCAAAGUGAGAGGUAGGUAUACUGAGAACUUACAGGAAAAGAGAAAUAACGUUCUAAAAAUAAGGCAUGGUAGCACUACCACUGUUCUCCAGUAAAUGGAAUCCUGAAUCCAACGAGGACCUAACGUUGGCUCAUAUGAGACCGGGUCCGGACAUAUUGGAAUAGUUAUAAUAUUUUACUUACUUUUUUCAUUAUUAUAAGUAUCCUGUUUGUAAGUUUUAUAAUAUAUUGAAAAGUAUUAAAAAAAUCACCAUAAUCUCACCAUAAGAUAACUGUGCUUAUUUUCUGUUCUUUCAGACGUUUUCAGUGUUAUAUGUGAGCAUCUGUAUAUACACACACAUAUUUUUAUAAAAACAUUAUCUUACUUUACAUAUUGCUUUCAGAUAAUGUGUAAAACUGUGUAGAACAGUUUUUUGUAAUGUGUAAAACCAGGAGUUGGUGAUGCACAGGGAAGCCUGGUGUGCUGCAGUCCAUGGGGUCACAAAGAGGCAGACACGACUGAGCGGCUGAACUGAACUGAAAACUGUGUAAUAUGUAAAACAUAUUGCUGUCUUUUUUCUCUUAACUUACUGUUGUCAUCUUUCCUUGUGAAUAAAUAUGUCUGUUUGUACA
rnacentral:lncRNA from 1 species